CCCUCGUAAAGUUGUAACUCGGGUAUUUUUAUUUAUGAAUGUCUUUCUGCUUGUCGUAGCUGGUUGAAAGUCGUCGAUAUGAAUUGAAUAUGAAUUGAUUCAUGACUUUGAAAAUGAGAAUUAAUACAAUGUCAAACAUGGCCAUUUCAGGAGCACAAUUGGUCCUUACGUUGAUUACGGUCAGUGUAAUUAAAAAAUUAGGCUCACACUUUUCUAUUGCGAAACGGAUUUUAUAUUCUACUGGAUUUACCUCAUACUUGUAUCCCAUAGAUCAAGCACUGAGGAGGCUUGUUGAUUUUCCUAAAGAGCAAUAUUCAUUUUUCCAAAAAAUACCAACUUCAAGUUCAUUUUUUUCAAUUAUUUACAAAGCAUUGCUGCAAUCAUGUUAAGAAUAUAACAGGACCAUCUUGGAAGCAUACCUUUUCAAAUAAGAUCAUCCUUAUUGAAAUUGGUUGAAUAAUUAUAGAGAUGCGGGAAUAUACAUAAAAAAAAAAUGAUUUAAGUUAAAUACAGAAUCUUGUUCUUUUUAAACCCAAAAAAGAGAGACUCAAAUAAUGGAAAACUCUUUGACAUUUUCAAAAUUCUGAUAUUUAAUGAUUAAUUACCAAUGGAUUAUAUACCAGUCAAUUAUAAUUAUUUUACUAUGAGAAUUUUUUUUUUCAAAUUACAAAGUUAAUGUAAGGAAAAUAUUUUGUUAUCAUUGCUUAGUUUAUAACAUAAACUAUAAUUAUUAUAUAACUUAAAAUGACACAGAAUGCGUUUGAAAGAGUAUAAAAAUAAUUCUUAUAACUAUCAUAGCCCUUAUUUCAAAGUUAAUUUUAAUACCUAUUUAUCUACAAUCUUAUUUGAGUCUCGCUAAACAAAGAUUGGAUAUUUAGAAGAAAAAAGCUUCUAGAAUAUCAAACUUUUUAAGAAAAAGAUGGCAGCAGUAAUUUACUACUUUUGCGUCAUAUCGCACCAUUAAGUAAAAGUUUCUACUGUACAUUCAUAUAUAAAACGUUAGGAGGAUAUUCGAGGAAAGUUAUUUGUAAACAAGUUGAAUUAAAGACCGAAGCAUUACCAGAACCAAACAUUUUUCUCGAAAGACGAAGAUAAGGCAAAUCUUUAGUUCACAACCUUAAGGUGACUCCACCAAAUUUUGUUUUACGGCAUAAUCGAACAAAAAUAUUUAUAUAGAUAGUAUUGGGUACGAGCUUAUAAAUUCCGUAAAAGUAAAUGGAGGUUAUUGACCUUAAUAAAGAGAAAUAAAUUAUCAAAGUUGAGUCGUUAUACGUCGGUGACAUAGGUCAUUGCGUGUUCACCAUUUCCUCUAAUAAUUUUAAUAAUAAAUGACAGAUACUUUCCGAAAAACCUUAAUUUUGUCCAGUAUAACUACUAAAUUGGUAUCUCAAAAAAAGUAUUGAUCCUCGAACUAAUAAAAAAGAUAUUGAAGAAAAACAUGACGAAUCGUCACAUUUUAGAGACAAAAUCGUGAAAA